AAACAUUUAACAAUUAAUAUUGCAGUUAAUUUGAUGUCAACUGAUUGAUACUAAAAGUCUCUCUUAUUAUUAUUUCAUAUGUAGUGUGAAAUUUGUUUGCAUUUUUAGGAAUAAAUUUCCAACAUAAAAGAAAAUAUCUAUAAACAGGAUUUACUUAACUACCUAGCCAUUGGUCGACCUACGAGGAUUCUGAGUUAAUGAUCAGAAGUAUAGAAGAGAUCAUUAUGAACAAUUUUGCGGCAGACUAUAAAUUUUAUAAAAGAUAUGUGAACAAUAUAUUUGUAAUUUGCAGACAAAAAGAUAGAAAACAAGAUUCUGAAAGAAUAUUCACUAAUGCUACAUAUGGUUUACUCUUAAAAACAGACCAGAAAAAGAGACUCAGUACAUUUCUUAAUGCUUUAAUAAAAGUAGAAUUGAAUUUUUACAAUAUAGCUGUGUACCAAAAAUCAACAACUAAUAGAAUGAUUCUAUAUUGAUCUAACAAUCCUAUAUCUUACAAGAGAGCAGUCUUUUAUGAAUACUUCAGGAUGGAUUCCCAAUCUUUUUGGUCCCAUAUCUCCUUGGCUUUUGAUAAAGUAUCUGGUACACUCAUAUGCAUGCACAGGAGAUGCAGAUACUACAAAAGCGAACCUCAAGGACCACCAAUCUGGCAGUUUCACUAGCUAUCUUAAAUCUUAGCUAGGCAUUUUGAGUUAUCAGAUCCUGCAGCGAGAAAAAAGACUUUGCAACCUCAUUGGAAUAGCCCAGAAAUGUUGAUGACAUAACUAUUUUUGGAAUAUGUUAAUAGCAUAAUAUACUUAUUUACCUGCUCUUCAUCAUACCCCUGAACAAGUUUCCCAUGCCUCUUGGGAUAUGGAUAGUCCAGGUAGGGAACCCCUGUUUUAAAAGAUGUAGAAUCCACUGUAACACAAUAGAAAGACAAAAACAGAACUAAACACUUUUAUGAAUUAGGUAGAAAAUAUGGGUAUGUUGAAAAAUUCAUGCACUCUAUACAAGAUAGUUAAUAGAGAUAUAGAAAAAUAAAGUAAUGAUACAAUCUUAGUGAAUGCACUUUUGCAGAAAAACAAAUCACAAGAAAUGAACGUCAAUUUAUUAAAAUCCUAAACUUAUAUGUCAAGGUAUAAAACAAUAAAAGAUAUAAUUAAGAAAUGAGGAAAGAAAAUUUUUUCGUAAAGAGCAUCAACAAUCUUUAAUAUUUUAAGAAAUGAAAAAGAUAAAAUAGAAGAAACCUAAAGAAUGGGUCUACUAAAUGACCAUAGGUAACCAAGACAAAAAGAGAGAAGUUUACAUAGGAGUAAUGAAAUUGUGUCUGAAAGAUAGGCUGAAAGAGUGUGAAAGAAAUAUUAUGCAAGAAAAUAUGAACAUGGCACUGUCAAGAAGAUUUUUAUGAAGACAAUAUACAUGUUAGGUAAGAUAAAGCAAAAAUAGUUAAAGUAACCCAAAGUAAUAAAGAAAAGUAUAUGACAGAAAUGUUGGAGAUUUUACAAAGAGAAAAGCAAAGGAACUUCAUGACAUAAGUGGAGAGCAUCUCAGCUUGGUUGUAUGCAGUAAAUAAUUUUUAGCAACAUGCACAAGUGUUCACUUUAUGUAGCUAAUUAGGACUAUAGAUGCUUUAUUAAAUUAAAUUUUAAAUAUUUAAUAUGUUAUUGUAUUGUAUUGUUAUAUAUGUAUUGUUAUGUUAUAGUGUAUUGUAUAUUUAUUGUUUUUCCAACAUCAGGGUGUAUAAUAAGUAAUUUGUAGCAUUAUAUAGAAAGUAAUGUGUGCUUG
rnacentral:lncRNA from 1 species